GUGAUGUUGACGUAGCCGGCGGUGCCGGAGGCUGAGCCGGUGGCCUGGAACAUGGAGGAGACGAGGGUGGUGCUGUUGUUGAUCUGGUGGAGCUUUUUGGCGCCGAAGUAGUCGACGAGGACGUGGAGGGAGAGGACGUUUUUGAUGGUGGGGAGGGAGAGGUGCUUGUCGAGGAGGGAGGACAUGGCGGCAUUGUCGAGGGCCAGGACGGUGAUGGUCUGGCGGCGGUUGAUCUCUUCGGCGAGGUGGGUGAGGGAGAGAUAGUGGUUGAAGGUGGAGAAGCCGGGGUGUUUGGCAAGCAUGCGGGUGAUGUUGUGGGCGGGGACGCUGGCGGCGGCGGAGGCUAAGAAGAGGAAGAAGAAGAGAAAGAAGAGGUUGUUCAUUUUGUUUGAAAGCAGAGAGUAGAGAAGAGAGGAGUGUGUGGGUUUAUAACUAAAGGCAUAGUAUGACAAACAAUGGCAGGUUGGAGAUGGACCCCAUCCGCCAAAGUGGCACCAUCUCACUUCUUGGACUAAUUUGGCAAUUGGGCAUCCCACCGACGCUCUUUUUAGGCCCCACUCUCCACUAAUGUACGUCUCACUUUCACAUUAUUUUAUUUCCUUUUCCUUUUUCUUUUCAGUGCAGUUGCCAAUAUUUGUUUUUCCUUUCAAUACUAUUUUCGAUCUACAAGUAUUAGUGUUCAAGGUUAACACGUAGUACAGAUUAAAGUGUAUUUACUAAAUAUUAAAUAUUAAUAUAGUUAUUUAAUAUAAAAUAUUAAUAUAGUUUGUUUUUAUUCUAUUAGAAUUUAAAUAGGUUAAGGUGAAAUAUUCUUAGUGAAAAUUGAAUUUAAUUAUUUUAAAUAAAGAUAUAUGAGAAAUAUAAUUAAUAAUAUUUUAAUUUAAAAUAUAUUAAAUAAUUAAAUAAGAAAGGAUAAAUAACAAUUAUUUUGAAUUUGAAGUAAUAUAUUCUUUAUAUAUAUUUUUAUUAUAAAUUAAAAUUUAUUAAAAAAUUUAAAAAAGCUACGAGUAAAACUCAUUGAAUAAAAAGUGAUGAAGUCUACAAAAUUUUAUAAUUUUUAUUUGAUGGUAGAAAACGUAUUAAAAAAACAUGUUACAAAACGUUAACGAUGAGGACAAAUAUCACGCUGUUCUAUACCUUUGAGAUUUAAUUUGUUGAAAGCAUUCUUGACGUCGAAAUAUUUUUCAGCAAAAAGAACACUAAAUACUAUUAAUUUACGUAAUCCAGGAUGAGCCAAAUCAAACUUUAUCAUCACACUAGCAAAUCUACAAUUAUGUUUGUGUAUGUUUUUAAUAAAAAAAAAAGCAGAAAGAAAUAAAAUAAAAUAUAAAAUAAAGUGAAAUGAAAUAAAAUUAUAAUGUUAUUACUUAAUUAUUUUUAUGAUGAAAAAUAAAAAGGAAAUAUUUAUAUUACAUACUUUCAAAUCAUAAAAAAAUUAAAUAAAAUAAAAUGUAUUUCAUCCUGUUUUAGUCCUUUCUAUCUAUGCAAAUAAUUCAAACAACAAAUAUUUUUCAUAUACUUAUACAAAAAUUUUGCAUUGUUAUUUUCCUCUAACUUUCAAAAAGACAUUAAUUUCCUAAACCAAGAGAACUGGACAAAUAAUAAUUGUAUUUUCCGAUUGUAGAAUUAAGAGUAAACAAAUACUUUAAUUUCUCAAAUAUAUAGACAAUAUCAAAUAUUUCAGUCAUUUAAGAAAUUAACAUCCAUUUAAAUAAUAAAAGUGACAUUGAUUUAAUUUUCAAUUAUAAAAAUAAAAAAUAAUAUUAAUUUAAUUACUCAUUUAAAUAUUCUUCAAUAGUGUUUUAAUAAUUCAUAAAAUAAUAAAUUUUAUAUUAUUUUGAGGUUAUUUUAAUGUUGGUUUUAGUUUAAUGAAUAAAUUAAUGUUAAUUUAGCAUUUAUUUGUGAUUUAUGACGUGGGACUUUAAUGAAGUUUUUGAAAGAUAGGCAACAAAAUCAACUUUCUUUUUUUUAAUAAUAGUUUUCUUUUAAUCCUUCAACGUGGUUAUUUUAUAAUAUAGUCUGAUUAUAAAUUUUAAUUUAAUAUAACAUUUGAUUUUCGACUAGCUUCUAAAAUGUAUUUUUUUAGUAAGAAUUGGACUGAAAUUCUCUCAAAAGGUAAUUUCAUUUUAAAAUAUAUUGUAUAAUACGAUACAUUUUGGAUAAUGACAACGGAAAGGAUUCAAGACGAGUGAUUUACACUUGUAUUUCUAAAAAUAAAGAUCUGUAUUCUGAUUUAUAUAUGUAAGGUAAUAGUUUUAGUGUCAGUGUUCAUACUCAAUAAAACAAAAUAUAUCUUUUUUAUAGUUUAAUAAAAUAAAUAUUCAAAAAAUCAUAUGAUUUUUUUAGAGAAGUUAACAAAUAAUAAUAAUAAAUAGUAUAAAAUCUAAUUAUAUAUAUAUAUAUAUAUAUAUAUAUAUAUAUGUGUGUGUGUGUGUGUAAAUUAAAUAUACAGUUAGAUAAAUGUUUUUUUAACAAAUAUACACUUAGAUAUAUGAGUACGUACAUGAACUGAUUCAGGUACUAUAGUACUAUUCUAAAAGAAAAGUAUUAGAGGUCUUAUACACUUUUCUACAGAAUUCAGUGAAAAAUUUAUCAUAUCUAUAUUAAAACCUACAUUUAAUAGGUAAAAACAUUAUUAGCCAUUGUAGAUAAUUUUUAUAGAUGUCUAUUAAAUUUAAAUCUAAUCAUUACCCUUGGAUAGGGUACUGUAAUGCGAGCCACAUAUGAGAUAUCUAUUUGGCAAAAAUGUAUCAUAUGUGCAAGGCCCCCUACCAAAUAUAUAUUUAUGUUUUAAAUUAUGUUUUGCGUAAUAUUAAUGACGGCAGUCCUCUGGAGAACACGUUGAAAUUAUUAUUGGUGGCAAAAUCAUUUAUAAAGACCAAAAUCUUUUGCCUGUUAGGACAAGUUUUGCUCAAUAUUCCAAUAAACCAUUUCAAGCAUUUUAUUUUUCCUUGUGAAAAGGGCUCCAUAAUUGUUCAAGACAAAUAAAUUAUGUUUUACAUUGGUUGAUGCAUAGUUGUCACCCUCAUCCUUGCAAUAAUUAAAGGCCGGCCGAACCACCAAAUUUGGAAUAAAAGGCAUCAAAUAGCAUUAUUGUGGGGCAACCAAUACUUGUACUGUUUCAAUAUUUAACAGUAAGGUUGUUGUUCAAUUAAGAAUGGAGUAAACAGUAUCUUGCUCAAAAGAAAGUUAUAAAAGCUACCCAUGGACAUUUGAUUCGUUUCUUUGUUUCUGGUUUUAGGAUAAGUAAUAACCAAAGUUAAAAUUAACUGCAACAAUGUCAGCCAAAAGAGAUAAGGUGAUGGUCAAGAUUUAAUAAAGUUUGAACGGAACAAGCCGGCUACAAAAUACACAACUACACAAGAAACUUGUGUGCUAGAUCUAGCUUCUAUAAUGAAGCAAGUUAAAGCAAAGUUGGUUUGAUAUAGUAUCCCACUAGCUUAGUUUUAUCAAUUGAUGCAAUAAGUUGUCUAAGGCACUUUGAAUCCUACUUAAAAAGAUUUUAUUCACAGAUGGUUUCCACGCUAUUACAAAAAAAAUAAAAAAAAAUCAGGUAAUUAUGGACCCAAAGGGAAAAAUAUGAAUCAGGCAAUUUUAUAACAUCUACAAUCAUAAGUGGCUCAUCGGUGACAAGUAGAAGUACCUCCAUUAAUUCCCCUUUUUCUCCCUUUAGUUAGUAUGUGAUAGCAUUCGCAGGAUAGCAGAUACCCAGAUAACAGAGAGUAACAUAGCAGAUAGCAAUAUAGCAGAUAGCAACAUAGCAGAUAGCAAUAUAGCAGAUAGCAGUAACGAUAGGCCAAGGAGAGUAAUUAGGAAACCCACAUACCUGCAGGAUUAUGUGUGAACCUGAUCAUCGAAUCCAGCUGUUAGGUGGUUAGCCUGGCCGUUAGUUCUGUUACAACAAGUUGCAGCUUUAUCCAAUUGAAAAUCGAAAAGUGUAUAAAUUUGGAAAAUAACAAAGCAAUGAAAUAAGACAGAACUUAUCUCUAAUUCUAGCUCUCUUAGCCUUCUCUGAUCUCAGUCCUCUAUCAGUAUGCUAAUGCCAGAAAAUUUAAUGGGGAAUUCAAGUACGUUUCUAGUUUGGGCAAUGUGCGAAGUUCUGUGUGAGAAUUCAAGAUGAGGACGUAUGAAUAUGUGUCAUGUAGCAGGUCACAGCAUAGGGAGGAACAUCUGAACAAGGUAUGCGGUUUUUUUUUUCUUCUUUUUCGGGUCCAAACAAUCACAUGGCUAAAAAGGUGCUAUUUUGCUAGUCUAGAUCCAUGUGAUUGUGCACCCAGCAAUAUUAUUAUGAUAUUUCAAAAAUAUCCCAAGUGAGUUCUUCUUCUUUCUUUUAUCUUUUUUUUUUCACCUUGUUGAAUCAUUCAUUCAUUCAUUCUGUUGGCUUCUUUGCUUUCAUUCAUUGCGUGAGAGAAAAAGUUCACUGUGUCUACUUUGGUUGAGGUGAAAAUUUUAAAAAAGUACAUCGACAAGUAAUGGCUGGUGUGAUUGUUAAAUGCAAAAGUAAGUUAUUCUCUUUGAUAUAGUUUUUUUUUUUUGCGAAUAAAACUUACGAAUUAUGAAUCCUUAAGUUAUAUAAAACUUACGAUUGAACAAUCCAUAAGUAAUUUUUUUUAGUUUUUAUAAAAAUAUUUUUUUUUUUAUUUUAAAUAUAACCAGUAUUAUUAUUUAAAAUAUUUUUAAAUAAGUAUAAUUUUAUAAUUCAUUCGUAAGUAUUUGUUUUUAUAUUUUGGAAGUGGUAUUAAUUGAAAUAAUUUAGACUUAUAAUUUAUUUGAGUCGUUGUGCUUUAAAAUUGGUUGUUUUUAGUGCUUAUAAUUUGAUGGAUUACAAUUAAGUUCAAUAAUAUUAUCUAUUUUAGUAUAUAUGGUUAGAUUAUCAAUUUUUAUGUAUUAUAUGCUUAUGAAUUUUAAGUAAAAAAACUUGAUGUUGGUUUUUUAAUAUAUAUGACUAUCAAUUUUAAUAUUUUAUAUUAUUAAAUGCAGUAAAAAAAAUUAUAAAAUUGUGUGAUAGUAUAUGUAUGGUGUGGUUAAGGAUCGUUUUUGUUAUUAAAAAUUUUCAAUGUUUUAUUAAGAUGAACGAAAAUUAGUGAAUGUAUGAUAAUAUAAUGUCUAAAGAAGUUGAUAUGAAUGAACAAAAUGAAGACGAAGCUGGUAUGGAAUAAGAAUAUAUUGAUUGUUCUGAUGUCUUAAAUACUUCUCAGAUAUUAAUAAGAUUUUUUGUUGUUAAAGUAAGUUAAUGAAUGUCUCUUGAAGACUAAAGAUGUAUGGAUUGCAAUGUAGGUGUUUGUUACCUAUGAUGAUGUUUUGAAUUGGGCUCGCGUUAUUGUUUAUGAAAUUGGUUUUAUGACAGUGAUUAUGAGGUUAGACACAAAUACUGGUAUAAAAGGAAGGACGUCAUUUGUCUUAAUUGGUUGUAAAAUGAGUGGUCAGUAUAGUGUCGGGAAGAAAAUUUUGGUAAGAACAAAUACUGGCAGUAGAAAAUGUGGGUGUCCCUUUAAGCUGUGUGGGAAACCAGUGGUUGGAGGAUAAAGAUGGAUGGUGAAGUUAGUGUGUGAGAGUCACAAUCAUGAAUUGGUCAAAUCAUUAGUUGGAUAUCCAUACGCUAGUCGAUUGAUUAAGGAUGAAAAGAUUAUUAUUGUUGAUAUGACAAAGUCAAUAGUAAAACCAAGAAAUAUUCUGCUAACGUUGAAGAAGCACAAUGUUAAUAGUUAUACAACAAUCAACCAAGUAUACAAUGCAAUAAAUGCAUAUCGUUCUUCCAUAAGAGACAAUAAUACUAAAAUGCAACAACUAAUGAAGCUUCUUGAACGGGAUCGGUAUAUUCAUUGGUAUAGACUGAAGGCUAAAGAUGUUGUACGUGACAUCUUUUGGAUUUAUCAUGAUGCAGUCAAGCUAUGCAAUGCCUGUAAUUUGGUAUUUUUGAUUGAUAGUACCUAUAAAACAAAUAGGUACAAACUCUCAUUACUUAACUUUAUUGGUGUCACACCAACAUGGAUGACAUUAUCUAUUGAUUUUGCCUAUUUGGAGGGAGAACGUCUAAAUAAUGUUGUUUGGACUCUAGAACGGUUUCAAGGUCUUUUUCUUGAAUGUAAUGUCCUCCCUGUAGUUAUUGUUACUGACAGAGAUCUAGCAUUGAUGAAUGCAAUGAAAACUGUAUUCCCUGAGUGUACCAACUUGUUGUGUCAGUUUCACAUUGAUAAGAAUGUGAAGACAAGUGUAAAUCCCUGGUUGGUAAAAAAAUGCAUGAGAUUAUGCCAUGGAAGCGUGUGAGAGUUUGAUUGAUUGUCCUUCUGAGGAAGAGUUCGAUGAGUGCCUUAAGAAGUUUGAAAUUGCUUGUUCACCAUGGUCAAUGUUUUUUUUACUAUAUCAACCAAACAUGGAUAAUUCCCCACAAAGAAAGAUUUGUUAAAGCCUGGACGAAUAAAGUGAUGCACUUAGGAAACACAACAACUAACAAGUAUGAAAAUUGUAAUUUUUUUUUUGUUGUUUAGGGUUUACGACUUAAUGGAUAAAAAUAGUUGUCGUUGUUUUUUUUGUGUAUUUCAUAUGAAGGGUAUCAUGAUCAUGCUGCAACACAUUGAAAUUAAGGCAUCUUUUGAGACAAGUACACAUGUGGUUGAAUAUGUUUUUAAAGUUAUCUUAUACAAGAAAUUACUUGGCAUGAUAUCAAAGUAUGCUUUAAAUCAAAUUGUUGCUAAGUAUGAGCGUGUGAGUUAUGCUGGUAUUGAUAGUUCUCGUUAUGGAUGUGUAAUGAGAACUAUUCAUGGUCUUCCUUGUGCAUGCAAGCUAGCUAGAUAUGUUGUCGGUAACAUACCUCUGGGUGUAAUCCAUAUGUUUUGGUGGAGGUUAAGUUUUCCAGACCAAAGGUUAUCUAGGCCUAAAGUCAGCAUAGUCGAAGAGAUGGAAACCACAUCCAAGUGGUUUAAAGAACUUGAUGUUUGUGGCAAAGUUACUCUAAUGAGUAAACUUCAGGAAAUUGCCUACCCUAAUCUAAAAUUUAUGUGUCCUCUUCUAGAAAAGAUCAAAACAAAAGGUGCUAAAAGAAACCAAUGACCAAACAUUAAAGAUCAACACAACGUGAUCCAUCUUACUGGAAGUAUGUUGAUGCAUUACAUUCUGUGCAAAAUAGUAAUUUUUCAGUCAAACAUAGUGCAUCAUCAUCUGAGUAAGCAAUUCCAAGAAGGACUAUGCCGACAUUGGAUCAAUUUCAUCCAUGCAUUUCAUGAUUCCAUUGAAAACAUUGUUGAUGUCAAAGCUGGUGAUAACUAUGGAUAUCGUGUAAUUGUUGCCUUAUUAGGUAUGGGUGAAGAUUCAUGAUCUUUGGUGCGCAACCAUUUGCUUAAAGAGCUUGCAAAAUGGUCUGACGAGUAUAUCAACCUGCUUGGUGGCAUAUGCAGAUUUGAGGAAUUAAAGCGGUUUCUACUUGUUGAUGGAUUAUCCAUGGUAUAUAAUAGCUUGUAAAAGGGUGAUAUAUCCUGCAAGUUAUAUGACGCUGGUCUUAGAUGUAUCAUUCAAAUUGUCAUACAUAUAGACUAGGGCGGUAGCUCCCCAUGCGUAGCUUUCACUCUGGGUAAGGUCACAAAAGGCAUCCAAGAAUACCACAUGCAUGUGUGUGACACUCUUGUUAGCAAAGAGAGUGCAAUCUACCAGAUGCAAUAGAUAUGCUUGAGCUGCUAUAGUCCACUAUGUUGUCUCACAUUUGCUACGAUAAAUGUCUCGUAGCCACGAUAGUUGAACAUAUGUCCUAUGGCAUUGUAUUGUCUCAACUCUAGCUUCUUCUGCACUAACUACAAGCAAUUCAACUAACAGUAACACGACUUCAUCCAUAUGAAGAACCUCGAAGCUAUGGAAGGCGCCUGUGAUGGGCAGAUGAAGCAACGAUGCCACAUCAUCGAGGGUGAUAGUCAUCUCUCUUACAGGAAGAUGGAAACAACUAGUUUUCUUAUGCCACCUUUCCACAAAAGCUUAUAUAAGUCUCUGAUCGCCAAUGUUCAAGGAACAUGCGAUUAAAUGACUUAAUCAUGUGGCAGUGACUAAGCCUUCAAUCUUUAGAGCAGGCCUGCCAAAUUUCUCAACCUUCCUUCCAUGGAAGGAUAACUCAGGACGUUCCUGAAAAUCAAAAUUUAAAUCUUGUCAAUAGUAAUACAAAAUACUUAUGAAAAAAUUAUUUAUUUAAAAAUAUAAAUACUUCUCCAUUCCAAACAGUCACUGCAACAUGAUGAACAUAGCCAAUCAAAACUGAUGUGUUGUGGGACUCGCCUGAAAAACCCUCGGCAUCAGGAACUACAUCAUCAGCUGCUGCUUCUUCAGGCUGUUGAUGGACCUCGUCAGCUGUAUGAUCCACGUGCUGAACAUCCUCAGCAACAAGUGCAACUUGUUGUUGCCUAUGUAUAGAUGUUGUGGGCUUUCGCCACAGGGGGCUUCAUUAGCAUCAUUUCUCACUUCUCUCCCUAAGACUCUUCCUAUAAUCCUACCUAAAUCCCGAUCCAAACUUAUGAUUCUAACCAUAAUUUGCACAUUAAAACAAUCAUAACAAUUUAUGUAAGUAUUCAAACAAUACUUCAAUCAAUUAGUAUUUAUUAAUUCAUAAAUAAAAAGUAUAUUAUUUUUUAAAUAACUUUUUAUUACUUUUAUAUAUUCAUAAAUGCAUAUAAAAUUUAUUUUUUCAAAUACAUAGACCUCACAUAACUAAUUCUAGUAAACUAAAAUUAAUGAUCAAAAUGUAACUACAGUUUUGGUUUUUAUUUCUAACAAAUCACUAUUUUAUUUUUCAACAAAUUACUAUGGCAAUAACUUUUUUAAACUAAUGAAAUAAUUUUAAUUUUAAACUUCCAAACACUAUUUAUAUAAUAUUUAAUAUUAUGAAUCUAAUAAUAUAUAUAUAUAUAUAUAUAUAUAUAUAUAUCAAAAAAAAUUUAAUUUACAAAUUUACUUUUUCUUCUUACACUAAAUUGUCAAAUAUAUACCAAUAAAAAUUUGGAAUUUAUGAUAUCUAACAAAUUUAUAAUAAAAUUUUCAAAAUACCAAAUAUAAUUAAAUUACUUAUAUUUUUAAAAAUAAUAUUAAAUCACAAUAAUAUAUAUACAUUGUUUUGAAAAUAAACAAACUACUUAACUUCUUUAUUAAAAACCAACUUCAUAAAAUAAAUGUAAUUAUUUAAAAAAAACAAAUAAAUAUUUAUUUACUAAAAAUUAAUUUUUUUAACAAAAAUAUUAACUUAUUUAUAAUUUUUAAAAAAACAUUUAAAACAAUAAUUAUUUAUUUAAAUAUUAAAUUAAAAAAUAUACAGAUUAAUAAUCCAUAUAAGUCAUUGCCAAUUUGUAUGUUAUAUAGAUUUCACAAUCCAUUGUAUCAUAAUAAACAAAUAGAGGAUGAGGGACCUUGAGAACUUACGAUGGAGACGACGGAGGGGUAGUCAAUGAUGGGGGAGCAACGGCGAAUGGACUCAGAGAGUGGUUUCACGGUGCAACGGUGGAGCUCUCAAGAAAAAAACAGAAUGAACAAUAACACAAGCGCAAGGAAAGGGAAAGAAUGAGGGAGGCAUGAUUUUUAAAUUUUUAAUGAAGGGCAUUUUCAUCAUUCAUAUAAUUUGUUGGGUGCACUAACAAUUCUUCAGGGUGCACAAAGAAAAAACCCAAUCAUAAACCAGCUUAGGGCCUCAAGGGGUUGGCUACUCAAGUUCAAGAUAUUUGGGCUUUAUGUACUUCAUUUGCAUAAUUUGUUAUAUUCACAUUUUUUUUUAUAAAAAAAACUAUUAUUAAAAUCUGGUUCAAUAAUUGUACAAAAUUCAACAUGUAAUUUUCUUUAAUAGCAAAGAUUUAUUAGUUUUGUUAGAAAUAUUAGUUUAAAAAAUUUGAACCUUCAAUUUCUCUCUCAUUCCUUCUCCCUUCACCUUCAUCAACCACUUAGUCAAUCUUAUAUUUCCUACUAGACCAACAUAUAAUAUUUUUCAAACAAAAAUUCAUUGUGAAAUAUUCUAAAAUGGAAUGAACGUUUUUAAUUUUAUCAUUUGUUCUAGAUUUUUUUUUACAGAAUCAUUUGUUCUAGAUAUAUACUGUUUAUCACGAAUAGGAAAAAAAUGGCAAUCAUUUUUCACUGGUUACUUUUUUAAAAAUAAAAACAGAAAGAGUUACCAAACUUAGAAUAUUAAUUACAAAAUGAAUUAUAUUAUAGUUAUGUUUGAGAAGUUAUUUUAACUCAUUUCUAGUUUUUUUUACCAGCAAAAAGUUUGUUUAACUUUAUUAAUAGUAUUUGAUAAAAGUUUUUUUUUAAGUAAUUUAUAACAAUUUUUAAGAUGUUACACUUCAAUAAUGUAUUUUAAAACGUUAUCUUCUAAAAGGGAUAAAAAUGAAGAAACUGAUCUUAAUAUUUUAAAACCAAACUUAUCGUUAAUUCAUAAUUGAUUGUAAUUAUUCUCACACACACAAAAAAAAAUUGGUAGCUAUGAAACAUAUAUAUGGUUAGUUCAAAUCUUUUGUUUCGGGUUUUUUCGGCCAUCGCAAUCCGAAUUUUUCUUUUAUUUGACCCAUUUCAUAGAGGAAAUUGCGAAACCAUGUUUUAUUUCAAGUCACACUCCUGAUAUUUUUCCCUACAAUGCAAAUUAAAUGCCCUUGGAAGACUUUAACAAUAAAUUAACCUAAAGAGAGAGAAUAUAAAAUAAAAUAAAUUUUCACGACUUUGCCAAGAAGCAGCCAACUAUUUAAGUUGCUUAUUCCAUAAGGCAAGAUAAUGAUGUUUUGGCAUUUCCCCCCUACUGGGUAUCACAAGCCAAAUUAGUAACCUUUAUAAUAAAAUAUGAUUGUUCUAUUUUAUUGAGAGAAAUAAGUUGUAUCAUCGGAUUGAGACUAACAAUGAAGCGUCUAUGUCUUUUAAACUUAACAUUUGAUCAACAAUUGUAUAUUUCAAUGGGAAAUUAUUGAAAUAAUCAUUAUGACGUAAUAACAGAUGUCUAUACAUAAAAAUUUGGUCAUAGUAGCAAGUUGUAACACCUCGUUUUUUUAUAAAAUAAAAAAAUUAUUUAAAAAUAAAUAAAAUUUUAGAAAAAAUAAUGGUAUUUUUGUAAUUAAACAAAUAACAGGAAAAUGGUUUUAUUAAUUAAAAUAAUAAGUUUUGAAAUAAAUAAAAUAAAUAUAUGUUUUAGAAAAUAAAGAGAUGUUUUAAUGGGUUAUUUAUUUAUUUAAAAGGAGUUAAAUAGAGUUCUUUUUUAUAAAAUAAUAAAAUAAAGAAAAGUAGAAUAAAUAAUAGACUCAAAGUACCCUGUAAAUAAAGAUAUAUUAGGUCAGUUUUUAUAAUUAUGAUACAUCUUUAGCUCUUUCUUCCUCCCAAAUUCAUUCUCUCGUUUUCCUCUUCCAAAAUUCUCUCUUUUUCCCGCAUACACUUAAACAUGUCCUAUUAAAAUUACAAACAUAAACUCGUUAACUGUUAGAUCAUUCUAAAAUUUAGACACCACCUUUAGAACUCAUUUUCUUACAUUUCCAUUGGUGGAAUUUUCGAAAUAAUGUCUAUAGAGAGAGCAAUGCCCCUUACACAGAGACAGUAAAAAUGAGGCUCCAAUCUAUUCUCCUUUUUAUUAACACUUGAAACCCUAGCAGAGCAAUUAGAGGAAAAACUUGAAAAAUUUUAGAGAACUGUUAGAGAAGCCACUAUCGCUAUCGAACUAGACAAAUGAGCCUACUGAGAGAUAAAUGAUGAGUUUAUCGCAACUGAGCUUAGAAUAAAUAUGUGUAGGGAUUCUUAAAGGAUCAAAUUGAGGUUUAUUUUGGAAUAUUUAUUGUAUUUUAAUUCUUCCUUUACAAUUAUAAUCAUGAGAUUGUUAUGUUUGACAGACCAAUUGAUGCCCUGAUGCAAAUUGAUUGAUAAAAUUAAGUGCUCUUAGUGUUUUUGUGUUUUUGAACCUAUGAUUUUGAUUCUCUUAAUUUUGAUAUGAUUAUGUGAAAUUAUUUGAGGGGUUUAAUCGUAUGAACAUAACAUAUUAAUAUUAUUAUUAUGUGACAUGUAUAUGAAGCAUGAGACGUGAUAACGUGUUGUCUUGAGAUUAUGGAAGUGUGAUGAACUGUGUGUAAUUAAAGUGACAAGUUAAGUAUGUGUUAAAUUGUGAAAUCACACAUGUAUUGAGAUGUUGUGUGUAUUGAGUUGUGAGUUAUGAACUGUACAAUCACACAACUAUAAGACCCUUUAAGGGCGACGAGUUAAUGCUCGAUGAGUUUUAUGAUAAGCUCCACUGUGGGAACCCGACGAGUCUAAUCACUUUGAGGUGCGACGAGUUAAAAUAAUUUUAAAAAUAAUUGAGUAGUUGUGUGUAUUGUAUAGUUCAUAUGUAUAAUCUGUGUUUGUGUCAUGUAUAUACUAAUAAUGUGUGAUGUGUAUAUGAUUCAUGAGAUGUGAUAACAUGUUGCUUUGUGAUUGAGAUUGAGUGUUCAUGGGAGCAGAUGGUUAGGUGGAUAACUUUAAAGAAUCUCAUACUAGAGGACGCUAAGAUACAAUAUUCUGAUAGGAUAUGGCAUUAGGACAUGAAUUUCUAUAUUAUUUGCAUAAUGUUUUGAACAUGUUACUUUAUGUUAUUCCGCUGCUUGACUUGCUUUCCUUUUGUAAAAAGAAUUGGACGGUCUUAUUUUGGGCUAGAGAUGUUUUCAUACUCUUAUUUGAUAAGUUUUUAAUUUAAUGAUCAACGUGGAUGUGAACCUUUUACCUACAUGAACUCUUUUAUGCUUAGAAAAUAAAAUCUCUUUUAUGUAAUUUCACAUUUUCAUGUAUUUUAUUAUGUAAAUAUAUAUAUCGGGAUUGAAGGUGUCACACAAGUAGGUCCUUUGGUGGACCUAACUCUAAUGCAUAGUCAAGUAAGCCUUAAGCAAAUAUAAUACCAGGGUUAAUUCCUAUUCAUGAUUAAGUCGACCUUAUAAGCCGACCAUGACAUUUAGUUUACACCUUUACAUGAUUAAGGCACAAUAAACACUUCCUUUCGCAUAUGAGAAAGACACAAUACAUGUCACCUCUAAAAAGGACAGAAAUCAUUACAGGACGUUUAGAAGAAACACUAUAAAUAGGUUUGAGUUUCCUUAAUCAUGAUAGGUCAUGCAUACUAUAACUUAUUGGAUUUCUUGAGUUCUUCACUAACUUUAUGACUCCUUAGUUAGUGUGUUCUUUAACAUGAACAUAAGUAUAAUUUUUCAUUAAUCCCUUUGACAAUUCAUUUGAUGCAACAUCUAAGAGCAACAUAUAUAUUCCUUACCUAAUACAAGCCAUGUUGAUGUUCCUAUAACAAAACAAUAAUACUUCUAAUAGUUCAUGCUUUGAACCCACUUGACGAUCUCUUCCUCUGUGAGAGUGGUAAUCAUGUUCCAUUGGAUGAAAAUGAAUAUGUUGAACAACAUAUAAGUGAUAAAAAUUCAUAUAUCUAAUGUCUUAAGACUUUGAGUUGGAUGUGGUGUCCAAUUCAUUUAUGUAAUUGAUUUAUGACUUCUUGUUGAUCUCAUCAUAUCAUCUCAUAUUUCAUUACAGGCAAUUUUAUGGAAGGGUAGUAUAACCACAUGAUUCAUGAAAAUUUCUUAAUUUUAUUUUUUUAGAAGAAAAAAAUAAUGCUUAUACUCUGUUUUAUAAUAAAAAGACUAAUAAGUUAUUUUUACAAACCUUUCCACCUGUUGCAAAAAAAAAUCUUGAGAUUUGAAGAUAAUGAUCCUUGUUAGUUAUUAGAUUAUUAUGUAAUGUUUAGUUGACACCUAGCAUGGAACUGUUAAACUAUUAAAAUAUGCUACCUUCUGUUUUACUUUGAGCUUGUUAUCAUUGAUUGGAUGCUUAAAAGGAGAUGCCCACUUCCUCCAUAAUUUUCUCUCACGAGCUUUAGUGGAUUAAGACAUGCUCAACUAGUACCUAUUAUGCUGACUCCUUUUGGAAAUAUAAAACAAACCACAUGGGAAGAUAGAUACUUCGGGGACUUAGACAUAGAGGCCUUGGUAAAGUUGGGUGUGGAAAUUGGAACUGAUGAAGGGUAGGAGCUACUUGUAUAACUUCAAAAGGCCUAAACAAGAAUCUAUUGAUGCUUUAACUUAGCUUUUCACAUGGUUGUUUGAACUUUGGAAUCUUGGGAUGCUAUUGUUGCAUCUUAAAUUCGCAAAAGCAGCUAUAUAAUGGAAAAAAAUCCGAAGUAUCUACUUUUUGUCCCGGGAGAACUUAUUUGGGUUUGGCACCCCUUCACUAAGCAUAUAUACUUUAUAGGAUGCAUCAAUGUUAAUGACCCUAUAGGAGAAUAGGAGAAGGCCGGGUAGAAAAUGAAAGCCCUUGGUUAAUUUUUUUAUUUUUUAUUUUAUACAUUAGAAAAUACCCCUUGAAAGUGAGUUUUUGCUUAAAACGAGUAAGAGUGAAAUAAUCCUUAGUUUAAUAAUCCAUCAUGAUUUUGACGUAUUUAAAAAUAAAUAUAAUUAAUUUUCCUUAAUUCAUUUUACAUACAUGAUUUUUCCCUUAUAGGGUAUAGCCAAUAGGUCUACAUCUAUUUGAAGAUUCAAGCGACUAUAAUAUAAUUAUUGGGUACGUACAGCUAUGAAAUUGUAGGUAGAAAAAAAUGGUUCAAGGGGCCAAUUUCCAACUAAGUGCAUUGUAACGUCCCUGCCAAAAGAGUGCUCUAACACAAAGCCAUAAUCCUCCAAAAAGGGUUUUGUCACCACCUGAUGGCGCAAUUUCUUGUUCGCGUCAAGGGAGCAGACUCAUUAGAAAAAGAUAAAACCGUCGUUGGAUUCGAUAACAAGAGCCUAGUCCUAGUGAAUUGUAAUACAAGAAAGCCCUCUUUAUGCAUUGUUUAUCUGAUACGAUGUACAUGUACUAUAUAAUAUAAAAUAGAUGAUUACUCAUUACCUGUAAUUUUAAAAAGUAAUCACACACAGAAACAUGAAUAUGAAAUACAGUGGUUGGCUCACAGGUACCGAUCCCUUUCUCUAUCAUUUGCAACAAAAGAUAAUUUAUUCCUCUCACAAGGAAUAUGUAUAUUACACUAAAUUGACAAUAGGGUUGAAAUAGAAACUAUUGAUUUAGUAUCAUAUUUUCAUAAAUUAUUGAUUUAGUGUCAUAUUGUUUUCUAGUAUAUCGUUAAAUUGAACCAUCAAACUUCAACCAAGAGGACGGAGCAGGCUUUUAUUUUUCUAUUCAUUUGAUGGGUUGUCGAUGUGCAGUACUCUUGUUAUUGGCAAAAGAAGUGCACUAGUAUUGAAAUGAUUAAACUUUAUUAUGCAAAAGACAAGAAGCUGCAAACAAAAUAGAAAAAAAGACAAAGCUGACAUGUCAAAUCUAAUCCAACAACUCAUGCUUUCUGUGUAGACCGGAAGCACAACACAAUCGAUGCUAUUUUAUGAUUUUCUUUUUUCUUUUUAUUUUUUAGAAGAUGCCAUUUUAUGAGUUUAGUUGAAUAAUAAUACUAGUAACAAGUAGCAAGUUGGAAUCUUUUCCUUUCACUUUUCUACGAGCUUUUGACUUCAAUACCAUUACGCUGAAAACAAGUUCGUUUAGCUGGUGUAAUCCAUUAUGGUACCAAACCAAUAUUCUGUAGUGUUUGAUUGCUUUGCUUUACAACAGAAAUUUAAUUAAUUUAAUGGACCAUCACAAGGACAAGAAACUGAGCAAAAGGUAUGCACAGUUUCAUUAGACAGUGUUUGGUUGUUCCUGAUAGCAGGGGAACAUUCUCCUUUAAACCAGACUCAUAAUAAUUAGUCCACAGCGGAAUCUUCCAAAUUCAUUGGAGAAUAAAACCCUGUAUACUUACGUGUUCAGUUGCUUUAAGGCAGGGAAAAGUGGCAUCCUCAGAGAGAGAAAGAAAGAGAGUGAGAGGGUCAUCAAAUAUAUUAAAAUAAAAAAAAUAAAAACUAUUUUUUUUUCUAUAACAACAAUGCCACUCUGCUACCUAGAGUCAAUUCCUGGUUUGCUUUCAAGGGUUUGUUCUAUUUAUGCACUGAAAUGGGUAUGCCAGAUUGCUUUCUGAUUCUUUCUUAUCUAUCUAAUGGAUUCGUGCUAUCUCGCAGCUGAGCAUGGAUAUCUGCUCUACUCUCUUUCUGUGCUGACUGCUGAAGUUUUUGUAUGGUAUUUUGAUUCUGAGGAUAGUACUAGUGGUGAUUGCGAUCAAAAUCUGGGUUUCUUCCACUUUCAGUGAUGGGAAGUAACAGCAGAGGAAAGGAUGGUGAAGGCACUUCAGGAGUUAAAAAGGAUGAGUACGAACAAGACAUCAAAUUUCUGCCACCUGAAGCGCUUUAUGGCAAUACCAAUGGAUUCACAGAUCCUUUGGUUCAGUUAACUCCACCUGGACCUGGACCAUAUGAGCCACCACCUCCCUUGCUCAUACAACCCCAGGUCAGAGUUAGAUGAUCCUUUCUUAAUUUCUUUUAUUGAAAAAAAAAUAAUUAUGGGGUUUGUGUUUUUUCUCUCUUUAAAAUAAAUAGGAUAGGUUAUGUUUAAUGUUAUAGUUUUAUACAGUGUAUCCAUGAGGGGGAAAAAAGAAAUUUGAUCAAAGCAGUGAGAAAUAAGCAUCCUAUCAAAGUGGGGUGCUUCUCAGCCCUGCUUUUACCGUUUAAUAGUGAUUUGUGGAAUUGGAAUUUGGAAUGGUACAACUAAACUCAGAUUUUUGGUUAUAGGGCAAAGAUCAGAGUAAUCUUUCAAGUUUUUGAAAUUUAAGGUGGAUUUAAUAUUUUGAAUACUGAUUUUGUUUACCAUUCAUAUGAGAAAAACUGCUGGUCUUAUUGGGAAUUGUUAUGAGAUGUAUUGGCCGAAGAAAUUUAUAAUGAGACUUAAUACAUGCAUGCUAUUGCAACAUUAGUCAACUCCCAGGUACUACAAAUAAAAAAAAUUAUGCAAUUACAAUAAGGGUUUAAUGCUUUUAAUCUGAUGAAGAAUUUACAAGUUAAUUAAGAGUUAAUGUCAUUGAAUGAAGCUAGUGUGACAAUAAUAUCUUGAAGGGCACAACACAAUGAACGUUUACGUUGAAACAUCAAAUUUAAAAUGGCUAUUUUCAAGGUCCCUGUGGCUGCCAUGCAAAGACCAGCAGCGAUAGCGCAACCCCUGCCACAAAAUGGAUAUGUAGAAUCUGUUAUUCAUGAAAGGUUGAAAAAUGUGAGGAUCACAUGGAAUCAUGCAGCCACGAAUGUUGCUAUUGCAGGAUCAUGGGACAACUGGGAGACCACGUAACCAUCUACACACUUUUAAAUUCCAACUAUAGUUCUUGCUUUUACUUCAUCUUAUGAUAUGAUGAACAUUUACCUUGUCCUGUCAGGGAGCCCUUGCUGAGAGUAGAUCAAAAUUUUGUCAUUGUUAAAACACUCCCUAUAGGUAUCUAUCAUUACCGUUUCAUUGUAGAUGGCUACUUGACACAUGCUCCAGAGUUCCCAUCGGCUUCUGAUGAUUCAGGUUAUGGCUACAAUAUAUUGGAUUUGCAGGUAAUUAAUUUCAUGGCUUACUUUAUUAGUUUAUUUUUCAGGAAUUUCUGAUGAUCUUGUUGAUUACAUCUUCACAAGUGUUAUCUUUUACUAUAUAACCUUUAACACGAUCAUCAAUUCGGUUGACAGUUUGGCUUUAUUUUGAGACCAUGUAUGCUUAUGCCUAAGGACAAUAUUUAUUCAGCAGUACUUCAAUAAUAUACUAAAUCCAUUUAGUCACAUGUUGAAUCAUUUUUGUCAAAAUUUGUUGUCUGAUGAGGAAACAAAAGCGCCAUGCCUGAAUGGAUGGUCUCAUACCAAACUAGAAUAGACUAUAGAGCUGCAUGCUUGGCACAGAAGUAGAAUUUCAUAUGGAAUGGUAGAUAGAAAAUUUCUACAUUAUAGAUGUUUUGUUGCAUAUAAGACACCAGUGUGUGUUUUAACCUCGAAAUAAAUUAACUUAACGAAAUAUAAAUGAUGAUGAUAAUAUACCUUGUCCUUAAUUUCCUCUUAAAUGACCCCCUUCUGAAAUAUAACUACUGUAGAGGUGGACGGUCUGAGAUCAUAUAUGCAGUAUGAACUAGAAUAAGUUUGCAAGUUCAGAGUGUUGGAUUGCCACUUUUUCUAGUUUAGAUUGAUUUCACCAGUCUUCUAUCCAUUGCUAGAAAAUAUUGUUAACACACAAGUGUAUUGAGUGAAUCAACAUCCCAAAAUAUGGUCAUAACUUAUAAUCCCUUCAACUCGUGCAAUUCAUCUAUAUAUGCAAAGAUAACCUCACCUAGCUCGUUGAUUAAACCAUUUUUACAGGAUUAUAUCCCAGAAAUAGUUGCAAGCUUAUCCGAUUUUGAAGAUCCUCCAUCACCGCCAUCAAGUUAUGAUAACACAAACUUAAAUGAAGAGGAGUUCAGCAAACCCCCACCAGAAUUACCACAACAACUACCAGUGGCAAUAAGAAAUGAGGCUUCAUCCGCAAGUGGUAGUCAUCAUGUCCCUAGGCCCACGCAUUUGGAACUGAAUCAUCUAUACAUCCACAAAACUGAUAGGGAUCAAUUUGUGGCACUACGAUCAACUUAUAAGUUUCAACACAAAUAUAUUACUGCGGAACUGUACAAGACCCUGCGCAGGGAAAGAUGAUGAAGCAUUGUGUUUUUUGUCUGCUAUUGUACUUGCCUCGUUUAAGCGGCCUUUAUUAGAACAUUUGUUAAGGUCAUUAAUCAAAUGUGUAGAAAAUCGAUUAUAGUAGGUAAAUGAAAAUUUGAUUUCCAUGUAAAAUUGGUCUUUAUGGGAAUAUUAUUUUAUUCUGGCAGUCAAUAUAUACAAUACAUAUUCAUAGACUCAUAGUAGCUAUCCUGCUUUCAAGGUCAUAUGUUUUGGAAUUGAAAAUGCUUUACUGCACAUGCUGUGAUGAAGAUUCAAUGGUUACUCUAGCAUAUAGUGGCUGACAGUAAUGUACUAUGACUUUCUUUCCCUGUUCUCUGUUGUGAUCUCAGAUAAUGUCAUCAGCUUCCGAAAUCGACCCAUUGCCAAAUGGCAAAUGCCCUGAUUCUAUCAUGGUAAUUCGAUGGUUGAACAGAAGAACUAAUAGCCAUUUAAAUGCUUUAAAAUAAGGGGCAGAUAUAUAGAAGUGAAAUGGCAAUUGCUCCCCAGGCAAUAGCUAAACUUGAUACCUAAAUGUACAUUACAAUGAUUACAUAAUAUGCAUAGUGCUAGUGUAAUCUGUGUAUACACCUUCGUCAUGUGGCAAGUAUCUUCUUGUUUCCACCACUUUCUACUUUUGAUAACUGAGACUAACCUUUCAUUCAUAUUGGUUAAAAUUUCCCAGACCAUGCUACAUUUCUUUAGUUUUACUCGCACAAAUUUCCGUAUAAAAACGACAGAAUGAUCAGUGUUGACAAUCAUAUUUAAUUAUUAGGCAUAACUGUUCAUUAUACAUCAUUACGUCUGAAUAUUGCUAAUAAGAUAGAGAUGCCAACCAUAGUUUCUGCUAAAUAAAAAACAACAGUAGUUCUAUAGUAUACCAACGAUCUAAACCUCUUCCCAUUUUCUUUUUCCUGUUUUAUAAGCAAGGAGCAGAAAGAAAGAAAAACUUAAGGUGUAAAAAAUUCCAUUGUUAAUUUUCCAUGGAACAGUCGGAUUACCAACCAUCUCAUAUUAGCAGGCAGGUCCGGUGUUCGGAUCACCAACGUGCUAUUCUUGAAACAAGAAACCUCAUUUAUGCUUUCCUCAAUCCGACAUUCAUAAGUGAACUUUGUUCAUUAAAACGAGCCAUAACAUAUGUGAAAAAGUAAAGAAUUUCUCUGGUGAAGUUUGAGAAUGAGAAGUAAAGUGUUGUCUCAUCGAACAGGCACCUUAAUCCAACCAUUUGCAAAAGCAAUGGCCAAGAUUACAAAAGGAGUUGACAUACCAAAUAUGAUUAUGUAAGGAAGAGGAGUCUUCAUGGGAUUCUCUCCUUCUCUUUCUCCUGCUGUCUGCCAAUACCUGCGCACACACAAAAUCCUUUUAGUAGCAAUCACUAUUCAAUAGAAAGCUUUUGGGAAACAUAUGUGACGUCACCAGAAAAUUAUGGGAAUGGGAAAAUAAAACUUAUGAAUUGUUACUGUUGUGGUUCUUCCUCUCUUGUUAUGAAUUUCUUCUUGCCUCCGUUCUUGGCUUGUUCAUCUCCACCACCUAAUAGGAUCAGAUCCACAUUCCUAAGUUUAUCAUCUCAACCUCAUUUAAUUCACAAGGAUGGGAUAAUAAUAAUAACAUAAAACUGAAAUAAAGGUAAAAGAGUGAUUGCAUUUAUGUUACCUAAUUUAGCAUGGACUUUGACACCAGUAACAUUAGUUCUGGGGGAGCAUAAACCUGGAGAAAAUGAUGGUGAUUUUGGAAGAAAUGAAGUUUUGAAGGAAAGGGGAGAAGAUAGAGUGAGUUUGGCAGCCAUGUUGAUGUUUGGGUGCUGCAAAUGCAAUGUCAUCUCAUAUGUUCUCUUGGCUUGGAUUUUCUUGUGGAUCCUACCCUUAUCUAACCAGCUAAUGACCUGGCGUCCAUGCAGCCACUUCUUUAUAGUAAUUUACCUUUUUCUUUGUAUUGUAAAUUACACAAUUAAAAAUAUUUAUUUUAUAUGUUUAAAAUUUAUAAUAAUAAAUUCUUUAGAUAUAUAUAAUAUUUUUAAUUUACAUAAAUAAUUUAAAUAAUAACAUAAGGUUGGAUUGAACAGUAUUGAUACAUGUUAUCAACCAAGGACAAAUGUGGGUUUAGGGUUUAGGCCCACAUUCUUAAAGUUUAAAUUUUUUUAGUCUUAAUCUUUUCAUUUAUUAGAAAAAAUAAAUUAUAAUUUAUUUAAAAUUCAAUAAAAAAAAUUAGUUAAAAAUUAUUUUUAUAAGAAUUAAAUUUAAAUAAUAUUAAAACAGUUUAAUUUUAAUACAUUAAUCACUUAAAUUGUUAGAUUAAAGCUUACUUUAUCAUUGUGGAAAAGUAGCGAUGUCUACCCGUUUAUUUUGAUGAUGUGGCUUUGAUUUGGUUGGCUUUCUCAGAAAUUAAGACUUGAUCGAAGGUCAAGCAAACAAUUGUUUGGUAUGUCCUUUGCAAACGAAAAAGAGCGUGUCAAAUUGAGAAGGACGUACGAUUCAAUUUACAAUAUAAUGUUCAACAAAGGAAGCUACGUGCCCCCCUUCCUCACUGUGCCACCGUAAUCAAUUUCAAACAUCCUUUAUUUUAUUUCAUUCACAACCUGUAAAUACAUUAUUUCCUUGCACAGAAAUGCUGUGAAUAUCCUCCCUAAUACAUUUUCAAGCCAAGUUGCAAUGAAUUUUAACUCAAAAAAUAUAUUGCAAGCAUUCUUCUUUCUUUCGGAAUAUACAAUAAGAUUUGAUUUAUAAGUACUUUAAAAACAUAUCUAUCACAUUAAAAUCUGCCACUUUAAAUAAGCAUGACUGAGAAUUAGACCUCUGCGGUUUGAAAAAUUGCACCCAAGGCAGUUACUAAUGUCAUCAUUCAUGCACUAUUUUCUCUCCUGCUGUAUACUAGGUUUUCAAAUAUUAAAGAUAAUUUUGUAAAUGAAGGGAUGAGAUCCCUUACAGUUUCUUAACUAAACUGUAGAUGAUCUUAAUCCGAAUAAAAUGUCAGCAACAAUACGCUGUGCACUGUUAUUUUUCUUUCUGGAUAUAAUACAUAAAAAAAAGUAACAAAGAUUAGCUUGAUUGUGUUUGAAUUGCAAGGUUAAAACUUAAAGGCUAUGAGGCAUGGACAUUUCAUUCCCUUGUUGUGUCUGUGUUCAUAUCCGAUACGAUACCAACACUAACAAAUAAAUCAGCAUUUCAUUAACUUUUUUAAGAGAUGAGAUGUCAUGUGUCUAUAUUCGUGUCGUGUCUAGUGUCCGUAUCGUUUGAUAGCUUAAAGGACAUUUGACAAAUAUUUCUUUAGGUAUUGGUUUAAUUAAUAUUAUCCGUGUUUUCUUUUUCCUGACACGCGUUUAGAAAGGGAACUUUUCCACAAUUCCAAAAUCAUCUUUACAUUGCUCAAAUUUCCACUCAGGAGCUUAUGAAAGCCCAAAAUCAAAUGUUCCACGGACCGAAUGCUAAACCGUUGCUCAUUUAUGUGUUCGAGAUCUUUCAACGGUGGUGCAACUCUAUGAUACGAUUGAGAUAUCAUGGAUAGGGUGAUGGAUACCUCUAAAAAAAAUAGUCCUGAUGCUCAAAUCAGGAACGAUGAUAUAUAAUAAAGUUUAUCUACUAUAGUGGCAUUGGUUGAAUUUAAUAAGGGUGCGAGAUGGACUGAAUUGUCUCACAAGAAACUAAACAAAAGAAGUCCAAUUAAAGUAUCAUAUUUUUAAACUCAAUGGCCAUGUUAGCAUCCUUCUUUACGACAUUAUGUUAGACGUUUCUUAUUUCUAGGUUAAAUGAAAAUUAGAUAUAGAAUGAAAGAGUUUCCAUUGGAACAGAGAACAGAACAUGGAACAUAGUCUGACAGAACCAUGUAGGCCAGGAUUUAAUUCCUGCAAGCAAAAAUCUGGGUGGCAAAAUAACUCGGAAACAAAGACACCCUGUUAGUUAAAGUCAAUUCAAAAGAAAGGGAGAUUCAUGAGACAUGAUCGAUUAUCAAAAUAAAAUCUGUCGACAGCCCUUAGCUCCAAGUUAGUGGAAGAGAACGUUGCUUUCAUCCUUUUAAUAAAAUCUUCACAUUUCUUAUUUAACUCUUCAGUGUCAUGCACAUCUUCAUCAAUGGUAACAAGGGCAUUUCCCCCUUCUUGGGUAUCUGAUAGCACAUUUUCUCGUUCUACUAUCUCCAAAACAUUUUCCUCUUCUUGUGGGAAUUCAGUUUCCUCAGCAGCAAUUGGUGCUGCUGCAACUGCAAUGUCUGGUUCCUUGGAUUCUAACUGGCUGCUAUUCUCUUCUAUGUGAACAGAAAAAGCAGCACGUUCAGUGGUUGGUGGUGAAGAGGCAUUGAUUGGAGCAGAGUUGAUGGCUAUUAAAACAAGAAGGAGGCCAUUGCAGAAAAGGAACAUGUAGCUUUUUUCAACCAAGUAGCUGAAGAAUUGCAUGAGGGAUGGCUUCAAGGAUUGAAGGAGUAAAGGAAGUGAAGAGAACAAAACACAGAGCAGAGAAAAACAAAACAGGAACUUGAUUGAUACUAGUAUCUUCUUCAUUCUCUUGGAUGACAAGUGCUCUGUAUGUAAGCAGGGGAAUGCGGGUCUAUUAUGAAUCUAUGGUGAAAGGAGAUAUAAAUAGGGGAUAUCCUCCUCAGCGUGUGUUAACCUCUUUCUAUUCUGUCACAUCAAUUUUCUCUCUUCGUCAAUAGACAUUUCAAAGAGUGUUAUUUUGUUUUUUUUUCCAAAUGAUAUAUGGAACAGUAAUAUUAUCUCAUUCUUAUUUAUUAAAAAAAUCAUUUUUUGAGUUGUACACUUACAAAAAAAAAAUACUGAUAAUAUUGGUAUGAAAUAAUAUUCGUAAAAAAAACGAUAAUUAAUUUUCAUAAGAAAUUAACAAAAAUUAAUUAAGAUUUAAAUAUUAAAUCAUUUAAUUAAAGAAAUAUAAAUCUCUUGUAUGAAUAUUUAUUGAUUUAUUUAUAAAUUUAUAAUUAAUAAGGAAGACUUUUGAGAGACGACCCGAAGUCAGUCAACUAAUACUUUUAACCAUAUGUAACUGCAAUAAAGUACAUAGCGUGUCUGUAUCAGACCACAUGAGUUGAGAAGGGCGGUAAUUAAACUCUUGCAAUUUCCUACUAAUUCGAGCGAAUAAUUAAUUAUAUCAUUGUGCAAAAUUUGACAAAUGAUCCUAAACCCAUAACAUAUCUAUGUAACUAUUUCAUUUAUUUAAUUUACUUGUUGGAUGCUGGGUUCACAUAUACUACUGUUUUUACAUUUGGAAGUUGUAAUUUCAGCGUUGAUGAGCUUAUAAAAUUGGUGAUCAAAUUUUUUGCAACUACUAAUGUAAUAACUAAUUAAAGGUCCCCUUUCCUCGAAUUUUCAUUUUCAGUCUUCUAGAUUUACCGUUUCGAGUCUUUCGUUAUAACUUUACUUUAUUGACCUACGCGGUUAUGAUUCUUGAUUCUCUUGAGUUGAAUGACCUUUUAGUUUACAAAACAUAUAAGUUUAUUUACUUCUUUAGACAGACCCUUGAAUAUUCUCCUAUCAUAAAGUGUAUAUGCUCUUUAGCAAAUUUGUAACUAAAUAUCAUAAAUUAAAUUCAAAUAUGUACCAGAUGCAACUUAAAAAUUCAAAUGUACUCCUAACAAAUACAAUUUCUUAUUUCUUUCGAUCUAUCUUUUUUUCACAUUCAUUAGUUUUAACUUAAAUUUGAUUUUUUUUUUAAAAAAAACAAUACAUAAUGUUAUUUAAAUUAUUGAUAAUCUAAUGGUUAAAGUUUGUCAUAAAAAGAAAUGGGUAAAAAUUUGUUUUUGGUUCUAUAAGAUUGGAGAAAAAGGUGAGUUUGAGGAUAACAAAGCUUACCUUAAGAUUUAGUUACCUGAUUCCUUAAAACUUUCACACCUUGCUCAAACCUUCAAAAUUUCCUCGAGAUACAUUCACAGGUUGAUACGAGAUAUUUAGAAAAACAUACUUGUGAGCCAAUUAUAGUAAAUUUAAGUUGAAUCAAAAGCUAGAUUUACAAGUUGAUGUCUCACAAAGGAUGGAAACUUCUCAUAAUCUACCCCGUGCAUACUAUUAGUCUAAUGUGUGUACCUACAAUGCAUUGUAGUAUGAAGUUUUUUAAUCCUAUCUUUAUAUUAUAUCAUAAUUUAAAUAACUUUACAACGGAAGUCAACAUUAAAAAUUCAAACUUGUUUAAUACUAUUAGUAGUUAACAUAACAUCUUCAAUAAAAACACAUAAUGCAUUAAGAUAUGCAUUACAGUUUAAAUUUUCUAUCACAUGAACCUCUACUCCGAUCAUAACACACCAAGACAAGGAAAAAAUAUAUCAAAAGACCAUAUAUAAGUCAAUAUCUAGCAAUCUAUAGCACUUAAAAAUUGCAUCAGCAGUCCGUCCCUUGCUGUUUAAUGAAAACCCAUAAUCCAAAGGACCAAAAUAACCCGGCCUUCACUCUUUCCUUCGCUUGUGUGGCUGAUUCAGCUCAUUGUCCUUAAUUUCCUCCAGGACCUUAUCACUAGAAUCACAAGGUUUAGAAACCUCAGUUGGGUCAUGCAGAUUUUCAUCAUUUUUAUCACUUGACUCUUCAGAAUUUUCAUCUUCAGCCUGGCGUUGUAGUGAUUCUAUAACAGCCAGCAUUUCUCUAUUAACCUGUAAUAAAAUACCAGAAAAUUGCAACGAAACUAUGAGCACAAAUAAAAUACCAAUUUGAAUACAAUGAAUGAAAAAUUACAAAAUAUAAAGCAUAGAGACACACACUCAAGUUCAAUAUAAAGUGAACUGAAGCCAUCAAAGAAUUCAUAAUUUUCUACCAUUCUACUUUCAUGCAAGAUGAACCAUUUUGCUCACCCUCCUCAUUUAAUUCCAUAUUUUAAAAUUCCAUAUCUAGCAAUCUAUGCUAGCACUAAAAAAAAGAAGGGAAAAAUGCAUCAGCAGACCGUUUUGCUUAUUCCGAAUUUUCUACCAUUUCACUUUAUACAAAAUGAAGCCAUCAAAGUAUAGGCAUAAGCAUUCCCAAGUAAAUUAGGAAUACAAUUAAAAGAAAUCCAAAUAAGGGCGGAUGCAUACUUGGUGCAAGAAUAAAACCCAAUAACGGCAUUCCGCAGUACCUGUGGAUUCUGGAGAAAGUCAGCAAUGUCAGUUGAACAUGAUGGGCAUUUCAUAAAAUUCUUCUGCGCUCGUAAAGUGCGUCCACCUCCACAUGCCCUAUUUCUGAUGAAACUUUGGCCAGAAAAGGCACCCUCCAAACAGGCUUUGCAGAAGUUGUGAGCACAAGGUGUAGUAAGAGGGGAAGCCAUCGCCUUGCGACAUAUUUGGCAACCAAACUCUGAAAAUAUAGGUAACCAGUGGCAAAAAUGAAUAGAGUUUACAAGUUCAAUUAACUACAAGUCUACAAUGGGUUUUUUUAAAAAAAUAAUAAGGAUUUAAGACAACUUAACAAAAGCUAUAAGUUGACUAUACAGGAUAGAUUAUGGGAACAUGUAUAAUAGACAGAGCAUACCUUUCAAUAGCCUUUCUUUCACGGACACAUUUUUUGCUUUCCGUUUAACUCUGAUUGUUGUUCCAUCUUCAGCUUUAAUGUCCACUGAUUUCUUGCUUUCUGGUGGAGGCUUCUUCCACAACCAGGACCCCUUUUCCUCCUAAAUUUGACCAAAAGUACUGGGUGAGACCAUCAAAGUAUAUAGAUUAUAGAACAUCAAUAGUGGAACAACACGUACCACUCAAAGGAUUUCAAAAAAUAAUUAUGGUUAUCUCAGAAUUUAAUCCUACAAAACAUAAAUCAACCUAUCAACAGCAAAAGGGCAAGAACAACACUUACAUCAAAAUCCCACGAUGGAUCACCCUUCCUUUCAGUUAUAUCAACCGCACCCUUCAACUCAUCAAUUUUAGGCAGUGGGCGUGGGCGAUCUCCAAUUUCAUCACUGCACGUCAACAACACAUAAGCACACACACCAAAAGAGCUGCAGAGAAAAAAAAAACAUACCUUGUCCAGGGUGCUGGCUCAUUGUCACAUCUCACAAACAAAUACCUACAAACCUUGCAACCCUGUCACAGUACAGAGCUUCUCCAUGAACCAAAGAGUUUGGAGCAAAAAUCCAUUUGCAGGCCUCAUUCAAUAAACACAAAGGCUACUAUUAGAAGCAUCUUACUUGUGUUCCAUUUUUGCGCCAGCAUUUCUCUAUUCUAUAAACUCCAUCGUAACGCACUCCAGACUCCGGUGCAUAAGAAGAACGCUUUUCCUUGUGCGACCUGAGCAGAAGGAAAGUUAUUUAAGCAGAAAAUAAAUGCAAUUAGUAGGUAAUAGAAUAAAAAAAAAAAAAAAAAAAGGAAUGAGAGAGAUGAGAUGACCUUACAACCCGAACGGGAUAACCCUUCCUGCAGCUGACUCUCAAGGCCUCGUUCAUGUUUUCAAACUUCUGGUCAAAGGAUUGAAGCUUGUUGGUUCGUUUGUUACCACUGAGAUCUCUGCCACCACUGCCAGUGUAAAGGAACCACUCACCGUGAUCCUCGUCAUCCUCGUAACCACCAGAAAGGGCAACAGACUGGGAACCAUAGCCACUCUGUCCAGCAAUGCCGGCAACAUGAGGCAAAUGAGCACCCCACUGGCGACACUCCAUCCUGUCCUCCCACGUGUCACCAACAAGAACACCGCGGUUCCUGAUGGGGUCGUUUUCAGACGGGAUGGGACCAAAAUGGUCAGGAGGAACAGUCACAAAAAUCUUACCACUGCAAGCAUUGGCUUUCCCAGUCUUCUUGGCUCGCUCUGUGGUGAAUGCGGUAUCGGGGCGGUCCUGGUUGCGGACAAAGUGGUACACCUUGGGUGGGCCCGAGGACCCUUCUCCCGACUUGGCCGCCUUCGCCAAUCGGAUGGCCAUUGCCAGCUGAGAGUUGAUCCUCGGCUGACUCGCCAUCUUCGCCGGGAUUUGAGCACGGCAAUUGGCACAGGUGCGCUUCCCCUGUCCGACCCACUUCUCGAAACAUCUCAAACACAAGUUGUGCCCACAAGGUGUCUGAAAGAUAUCAUGAGUAAAAACACUGACUGACUAUUCAGAAAUCAAUAAAAGAAAAGAAAGAAAUAAACCGUGACGGGCCUCUCCGGUAACUGCAUGCAUAUGGAGCAAUUUAAGCUUCCGUCAAAAAUGUCUUUGGUUUUGGCUUUGUCCUUUGAGGAGUCGGAAGAGCCAGCGAGGAGUUCUUGACGUUUCUUUGCCUUCUCCUGGUCAGUGAGAGAGGUGUCGGCCUGAAUGGCAUGAACGGCGGAGACAAGGUCGGCGGUGGGAGCGACGGGGUAAUGGUUGGAGGUGUCGGAACAGUCGGGGCAGUCCCAAUGUGAGUCGGAGAGGGAGAGAGGGGCCGAAGGGAGACACGAAAGGUGCCAGGGAGUAGCACAUGUUCUACAGGAGAGGGUUUGGGAGGGACUGGGUUUCUGUUUGCAGAGCAUGCAGACGCCAUCGGAGUCGCAGGGAAGCUGCGCCAUUUUUCUCACUGCCAACAAUUUCUGCUUCUUUUUAUAGGGAAGUGGAACUAAUAUCCAUAUUUCUAAUUUUCCCGAGCGAGGGAAUCACCCUUUUGAAUAUUUUCCAUUUUCUAUUUCUAAUUCUUUCCCUCCCUUCUUUUCCUACCUUCAUUAUUAAUCAUUAAUACCAAUUAUUAAUUAACUAAUUAUUUUCUCCAUUUCUUUAUCCCCUUUCUGCUCAUAGUUUUUAACUUUGUAUCCGAUGGUUAAUAAUAUACCUUAUCUCUACAACAAAAAUAACCAUUGAUUCAUUAACAUAAAAGAUACGUUUGAACUAUUAAAAACUUAAUCAUUUAUUCAUUAAUAGUAAUUAUUAGUAUUAUAGUAACAUUUAAAUCAGCGGUCAAACUAAAUGAGAUUUUAAUAUAUUUUGUGAACUUUUAAUAAAUAUAAAUGCUAAAUUGAGAUCAUUGAUUAACAAUUUUUUUAUUUUUUAGCAUCGCAUUAAAUGUCUGAUUGAUUAGGUCAAUACAGUAAACAUUUUUUAUAUUAAAUUUCAAUGCAUUUAUAUUUCAAAAAAAUAAAAAAUUUGAGAUCACUGAUUAUGUAUGUAUUGAUUACGUGCAUAUUAAUGAUUUGUUUGAAACGCAUGAAAGAUGGAGAGAUGAUAUCAAAGUAGUACAUGAAAAAAUACAGGCAAGAGUUUUCUCACUUUGGAAUAUGAAAUCAAAUGAAUGGGAACAAAUUAUGAGACGUACACAUCUGAUUUUAUGCUUAUGUGUAAUGGAGAAAGAAAUGUGCGGUUAUGUUGGAAAAAGACUGAAAUGUCGUUAAUUUUGUAUAUUUUUAUUGAAAAAAUAUCCAUGUUGUUUAAUUUGUUUUUACACAAUUACGAAAAUGAAAGAAAAGUUUCAACUUUCUUAUUUUUCAUUUUCUUUCUUGCCAAAAAAAUUAUAUAAUCAUUUCCCUUCCUAUUUCUUUUCUUCUUUUUUUCCCUUUCGCUUUUCACCUAAACCAAACAAACCCUAAUUAUAUCUAAGGGAAAUAAUACUCGUAAAAGAAUUAUUAAGUAUUCUUUUCAUUAUAUUAUAUACAUAAGUUAUAUCAUCACAUUAUUUUUUCUUCCGAUUAUUAUAUUUUUCACCAUUCUCCUUUUCAUUUCUCGUUUCUACAUUCAUUAAUAGUAAUUAAAUUAAUAUUUUAAUCUUGUAAUACAAACCCAUAGUCUAUAGGGACAACUAACCAUAAAUCACACUAAUUUCAUGAUAUAGGAAGCUCUAAUGUUCGAAGAGUCCAAAAACCUAAUACAUCUUCUUUGAUUUAUUAAUUUUUCCAUGCUUUGAGAUGACACUAUCGUUUGUUUGUCGUAUUUCCCCAUAUAAAAUUAUGACACGUGCAUUCAGCUUCUUCACAAACUAAAACUUAUAUGCAUAUUGUUUACAUUACGUACCAAUGAAUGCUCCAAAAAGAUACAUCUUGCAAAAGAUAAUGUAGUCAUCUACCAACAAGAGAGUUUUUUCCUUAUGCAAUCUAAUGUAAAGAAAAAUGGUGUCUUUUGAUGUUCUCUGGUGUAUCAUGGGUGCACCAAGAUAUUAACCCAAGAUAAUAAUGACUAUAGUUUGUUGUCAUCGUUGGGUUGACAUUUCUAGAAAAGGAAGACCUGAGAUUUGUUAAGACUCACCUCCUUUUCGGACCCUAAGUAUGAUAUAUCUCAAAUAAUCGUUAUUAAUUGGAUUUUGGUUGAUGAAACUUUUGCAACUACUAGAAUCUCAUUUUUUUAAACAACAUGUGAGAUCAUGUUGUUGCAAACAUGCAACCAAAACAAAAGGAUUCUUCUAUUUUUAGACUACAUCUAUGAGGCAAUGAUACAAUCUUUUAAGGCAUAAAAUAAAGAGUUACGGUGAUAUAGGGUUGCCCUGACAUGUACCUUAAGAACUCUAAACGAGGUUAUAGGCCUAGCAUUCCUUUUUAUCUUCAUCGAUGUCAUGGAAAUGUAGUAGAACACUACCUUAAGCUAAGGUAGGAGACCAAGCAUGUCCACAAUGUUGCAAAUGAAAUGUGUGUUCUAGUGUAUUGCAGGCUUCUUUCCAAGUCUAACUCGAAGGUCAUCCAACCUUUAUUGACUUACAUGCAAUUUAUUGGAUGCAUGUUUUCAGGAUAAAAUAGAUGUUAUCAAUAAUACAUCAACCUAAAAUGAAACUAGUUUGGUGUCAGGAUAUCACUUGGGAAUAACUAAUCAAAGUUCUUGGCAACAACUUUUUCACAACCUUAUAAAUGACAUCAUUACACGGUGCAAUAAGUUCAUAUAUAUCAGAAAGCUUUCUUGGGAUCAUCAUACGUGUGAGUAAGAGUUGUAAGAGUUUCAUUAACUUAUUUUAUCUUCUAUAGAUUAAGAAAGAUGUCAAAGACAAAUUGGUCAAUCGAUGUACCAAUAAUUCCCCACUAGGAUUUAAAGAACAUAAGGUUGAAGUCGUCAAACCCUAUCGUGCGUAGUUUCCCAUACUUAACAAGGCAAAUCAAGCUUUGUCUUAAAUGAAUGUUUGAGUUAGGGUUUCCUGCAAAAAAAAAAAACCAGGGAUAAAAUGCUUUCCACGAAAGCCGAUACAAAUCAAUGAUGCCAACACUAAGUAUAAAUCACGAUAUACGCUUAAAACAUGGUAUUUCACCUUUUCCUCAACAUAUAUUUAUUCCUGCUUUGCAUAUCGAAAACUUGUGACUAUAUUACAACAAUGAUGAAUAUGGGUCUUUUGGUGGAAAAAAGCAAAUUAUGAUCCAAGUGGCAUUGCUUUGAAAUGGGGGAAAGGGAAAAAAGUUGAAUUAGAAUCAAGGUUCAAAAGGAUUUGAGAAAUAACGUGAUAUAAACAACUUUUAUGAAGGAAACAAAAAAAUCAAAGAUAAACGGACACUUAUUAAGACAUCAAUGGAGUAUCUUGUAGUAGAAUCAAAGGACUACAAAGAGAAAAUGGCUUAGCAAAAAGGACGAAAAUCAUAACCCUAAGUCAAAAUAGUGGGAUAUAGAUAUGAUUCACAGUCAUGGGAAAACAAACAUGUUCUCAAAAGUAGAAGCAUGUACCUUAAUUGGCGACGACAAGGAAUCGAAUACACUUCUUGCCCCCAAAAUGUAGGGUUUUGGUAUCGAUAACGAGAUUUGCAAGAAUUGGGAAGAAAGGAAAGUGUGAAAAUGGAUACAAUAGUGAUUUAGGAAUAUGAUUUUGUAGGCAAUAGUUUGAAAUAAGAGAGGAAUAUGUAUAUGAAAGAUAAAGAUAAAAUAAAAAAUAAACAAGUAUGGAUGGUAAUUUUGUUGCUAUUCUUUUGGGAGAGUUUAAAAGAGGGAGUCAAUUGUUAUUUUAAGGACAAGGAUAAAGUGAUGAGAGUUUCAAAAUUCAAGCAUAAUAUCCAUAAUUACAUGAGAAUAAAGAGACUUGAGUUGGAGAUUUCAUGAAUGAUAGUAGAGAUUUUUUAUUGUCACCGGUGGAAGAUUUUUGGUGCACUAAAGAUUUCAAAAGAACUGUAGUUCAAGAGAACUAAGGAAAGUUGAGAUGCAUAGUAGGAGUUUGAGAUGCAUAGUAGGAGUGUGAGAUGUACGAUGAAAUGAGAGAAGAAAGUUUAAAUGAAUGUGAAUAAUAUGAAAAGUAAAGGGAGUGAAACUACUAACAAACUAGACAUGAGAUUAAUAGCCUUUUUUGUAUGGUAUAUGAAAUUGUUGUGCUUGGUUAAUUUCCAGUGUGUAAUAUUAAUAUUGUCAUGAGUAAAUUUAAUAUCAAUUAUACUGAUACUAAUUCUUCUAUCUAAAGUUAAUAAAAUAUAAAAGUAUAUUUUUUUUACCGUUAAAAAUAUCUUUAUAUAUAUUAUGAUGUACUACCUCCAAUUCUUUUUAUAAGAAAUAUCUUACAGUGUUAAAAACUUUCAUAUUUACUUUUAACACCAACUUCUUCAUUUUUACCUUCGAAGGGAGCAAUAAAAACUUUUUAAUACUAACUUAUUUGUUUUUAUCUUCUCAAUGUCGUGAUAAGGGGGAAAAUGUCUUUAAAAUAAACACAAUUAAUUGAAUAAAACAUUCAUUUAAUAAACACAAUAAAAAUUUAUUAAUAUUGUUUUCCACCAAUACCCAUCUUCACGAGUCGGGUUUGGGGACAUUUUAGAUGUGAUAGUUACUAGUCAAAAUUGGACCCUGGUAUGUUAUCAUAGCACUGGUUGUUUUGGUUGUCCUAUCUAUAGAUUCAUUUGUCAUUUGCAUCAUGUUGUGUGCGCUUCUAUUGAUUCCGUUAUGUUUAUUAUGCUCCUCUUCCUGGACUUGCUUUAUUGUUGUAUGUUGUGUUCAUUUUGUGUUAGGAAAAAAAAUAUGAAAAAAAAAUUAUUCUUAUAAUUUUUUUGAUAUUAAAGCUCAAUUAAUCCAAUUCGACUCAACUCAUUUAUGAUUGAGUUGAAUUGAGUCGGAAAUGUAAAAAUUACAGAAAGUCAAUCCAAUUCGAUUUUUUAAUUGGGAUAUUGAUUGGGUUUAAUCAAAUCCAGUGAGCACUCCAUAUUCUUGAUUGUGGUUUUUUGUUUUCAUCCCUAUUUACGUUUAGCUAUCCAACAUUACUCCCAUCUUGAAAUGGAAACCGACUCACCUAUGUUAUGUCCGGUUGAACUUCAACAACUUUUGAAUAACUGAAGUGUCAGUUUGCCUAUACUCCAGCUGUCUCAGAGUCACCGGUCAGGUCAAAUUACAUGACCAAAUAUAUAUCGUUAUUUUCUCGCAAAAGAUACAUUAAUUGAGAAUAAUGGCCCCCUAGCUAUCACGUUAUUCAACCUCUGAAGUCUGCAAAGAGAUUUCAAAUUUGGCAAUAUAUAAAGCUAAAUUAUAUAUACAAGUAAUUAGAUGUAUCGGUUGCAUUUGCCGUGUCUUUACAAAGAAUAGAUCGAGCUUCAAUCACUGAGCGAGGAGGCUCAAUAUCCUUCUCUUGCAACGAAUUUCCUCGUAAUCGUUGCAUUUGGGAAGCAAAGGUAUCAUCCAAUAUCUACAAAGUGAAACAAUCAACGUCAACGGUACAACAUUACAAUCAACAUCAUCAGAAAAAGGCUGCAUACAUGAUCUAAUAAUAUUGACUUACCCCGAGAGCAUAUGAAGAGCCGUUGUACCAUAUCCUGUUUUCUUUCCUCCCUUCGAGAAAUUUCAAAAUAAUCUAUCGCAAAAUCAAUGAAAAUAAAUUUAGAUCCGAGAAAAAUGUCAACCAACCAACAAAAUAUAGGAGUUUUUAGAAUAGUUGGUUACCUGUCCCAUCCUAUCCCAUAAUCCGCGACAUAUUGCUAUAAAAAUCUGGCUGGUAAAGACCUCGUGCAGAUUGGAGAUGAAGUCAGUGAGUUGUGAAUUCAGCAACUGCAUUCUUUCACGCACUUCUGCUUCUCCGUCUGUUUCUGUUGUUUCCUCAAGGAUCUUUUUCAGCCUUGUGUUCCGAUUAGCUUGUAUCUGAACAAUUCAAUGGUAUCAAAUGUAAAUAAAUAUUUGAGGCUUCUAAACAAAAACUUUAUGGUUACUAUUGUUAUCCAUUUUAUGAUAACACGGAACUGACAUAUAAAACUGGAGUUUGAAUGAUCUUACACUGUUGACAAGAUUCCCUAUUAUUGCUUGCAAAUAAGUUUUGUAUUUGGUUCUCAAGAGAACAGUAAUUCCAUUCAUUUGCUCCCCAAACAGUGUCUUUUUAUCUCCAAUGACGGGUAGACAGGAUGCCCAUGAAUUUAGGAUGUCUUCCACUCUACAAUGCAGGACAUCAAGAAUCCUCUUGAUGGUGUUCAAGAAUAUUCCCAACUGUGGAUAAAACAAAAUGUUAUAAGAAAAUAUCUCAAUAUAUAAAAACACAAUAUAGAUAGAAACCAAAUUGCUGCAUGUUUUCUAUUGUGCCACAAAAGUUUGAGGGGGCUUAAAAUUUUGAGUACUUAAAUUGAGCUGGAUUUUAGAAUCUAGACCUAAUGCAAACAUACAGAGAACUUACUUGAUUAGGAACCAAAUGAACAGUAGCUGAUUGUCUUCUUGCUAUCUUUUGAACUUGCAAGUGAAGUCUCUUUUGAAUGCUAUCUUUCAAAGGAGUUAAUAUAUCACUGUAUUGUUUCUCAAGGGAUUUCACAAUUGCCCUUUCAAUGUUUGCAACAGCCUUACAGAAAGAAAAGGGUAAGAAAAAUGCAAACUCAAGGUACACCACAUGUUUUAUACAGUGGAGAUGGAAUUGUUUAUAUAUAUGAGAGGAGAGAGACACUAUAGAAAAAGAUAUCCUGAAUGCUGAUGGUUUAGUUUAAUAGAAAUAUCUCUAGUUUAGAACUUACAUUUUCCAAAUAAAGUGAGUAUUGAGGCCAUCUAUUGAUUACAACUUCGUAAAGGGUAAGGUUGUCUUUGAUUUUCUCAUACAUUUCCUCGGCAAAUGGGGAGGUGGAGUGGUUUGUGGUUACUCCAGCCCAUGGCACCUGUAUCAUUAUUGGGGAGGUCAAGUCAUUUAUAGACUGAAGUGCUUUAUUACAUUUAUAGCAGCUUAAAUAAAAUAACUACUACCUUUUCUGCUUUACAUAAAUCAAGUAAACUAAGUUGCAUAUCCUGUAUCCACACCAUGAUAUAGUUGUGGAACAAAUUUCUGGAGUCUACACCUCCCUGCACAAGACUGGAACAUGAAGAGUAUUGUGUGUCAGAAAUGAUAUUUUAAUGUUGGGGAAUCUGAAGUUUUUUUGGUACUGCAUUUUGCAUUAGCAUGGGAGAAGUUUCUUUCACAAACCUUAUAUUCCAUGAUUCCAAAUCCCGUUCAAAAUCUGCAGUUGCAACUAGAAGCUCAUUUACAUGUGCCUGUGGACUCGAUGGUGGCAAUGCAGAAAGGAAAGCUCUCAGUCUCUUACCCAACUCUGUGCUGUAAACUGCUGCUGUGAUGUUUGUCAGGUCAAUUGAACUGAAAAUUGGAAAAUAGAACUCAGAAAAUCUAUGAUGAACCAAAAUUAAAAUGUAUGGAGAAAAAAUAACAAGGGAAUUUGAUUGCUAUCAUUGGAUGUAUGGGUACAGAUUUUGAUAAUGAAAAACUCUGACUGAAACAGAAGAAAAUAACAUUCUGUUAAGCUAAUUGAAAGUUGCAGAAUGUUUAGAUUUAAUAAAGACCAAUUGCAUCUCCCAUGCAGGGGAAGUAAAAUAGAUAAAUGUAAUCCUCUCAUUAUAAUUUACGUGUGAGAAAUGAAUUGCAAUUUGUAUGCACUGUUAACUGUAUUGUCAACUUGCUAAAGAGAGCUGUUAUAGACUUAUUAUAUAGCCAAUUACCUUGGAAAUAUAUGCUGACCAUGGAUCGUAUGCUGGUUGUGGAUCUUUAUGUCUGCCUGAAUUUCAUUUCUUAUUGAAACACAAAGAUUCUUCAUCUUCAGGUAUGCUGUUGAGAUGGUAAUGGUAUCCAUUAGGUAACCUUCAGAGGUGCUUGACACAAAUUCAUCAGUCUCCAUCAUGUGUUUUCUGCACCUUUUUCUUGCUGCAGUCUGUUGACAGUAACCUUUUCAUUUAGGCUCCAAAAAAGGAAAACCAAGCUUUACAUGCAGCCAUAAAUCUACUUCAAACAUCCAUGCUUGAAACUAUGUUGAACAAGAGCAUCAGUUAUCAGUAACAGUGCAAAUUUGGAAUUACCUGAAGAUAGUUUCUUAGAAUAGUUUGAGCAUCUAGAGAUAGUAUGUCAUGAAGACUUGUGUAGACUUGAACAGCAGGAUCCAAAGCUGGUGCAGCAGAAUCAAAUCCUGAACCAAAAUGAUCUGUUAAACCUGUUGGCGAGUUUUCAUCUAGCGAUUUGUAAUUCUCGAAAACUGUCGCUAGAAGACUUUCAAUUUGAGUUUCACAGUCUGAAAGUAUACUUCUCUGUGAGAACAAACAAACAAACAGAGAAAACUGUUACACCACCAUCCAUUUCCAUAAUCAUGAAUUACAAAGUUUGGUUAGAUAGAGACAGCACUAGAUAUGAAUAAAUACCAGAUUUCUCAAGGUACUUAAGACAACAGAAAUACAAGCGAUUCAGGGAACUUUUACUCUAGUUUUCUAUUCAUAUCAUUUUUCUUUUUGUUCAAGUGUUAAGAUAUGUAUGAUGGUAUUAAGUCUGAGCUCUAAACUAAUGCCGUUGAAUUAUGGGAAGCUGGAACAACAUAAGAUUAAGCAAACCAAAGUACAUGAUAUGGUAAGUUACUGCAAUGGGAAAGAGAGCAAUAUAUAUGACUUACCUCCUGCCUGGUCAGACUCCUCUCACUUCUGGCCUUUAUGAGGGGUUCAAGCAACUCUCUCACAAGCCCUAGGCAGUCCUUGGUUGGAGUUGCCACAUUCAUCACAUGUAAUAGAUAUCUACAAGAAGACCACCACAGGUAAGUGGAGAAAAAUUAAAAUCAUGUAGCAUAAAGAAUAUCAGAAAACUGUUUCUUUUUUCCAUAUUUUUAGGGGCACCCAAAUGACAUUCAAAAUACCUCAGCCUGGCAUAUGAAUUAGAAACUCCAUAGUAGUCUGCAAAUGCAUCUAACAACCAUUUCCAAGGCCCAUUUAAACGCAAGUUUCGGGAGUGGAAAUUUUGUGCGCGCAUGGCACCCUCCAAUAAUAAAUCAUAAGCUUGAGUUUCCACAACAGCCGCACUCUGCAGAAAUGUACAAACCAGGCAAAUGAAAACCUGAAUCUAUGCUCAGAACAGCAUAGCCAGAAAUGACCAUGCUGGUGUUUAAUGGCCAAAAGUUUUGAACCAAGAUAAAACAAUAUUAAAAUCACGAUGAGCCUUUUCUAUAAAUAAAUAAAAAAUCCUUUGUCCAACCAAAUUACAAUAGUUUUCUCUUUUAAUACCAACAAAUGAUAAUUUGAUUAAACACAGUGAUAGGUAUGAUCCUUUCCAUGGUUAAUCUCAGAAAGAAUCUAGUUCUUGAGAACAAUUUUUCUGAUAUAUUCCAUCUAAGAUGUUUCAUAAACUGUUACUUCUUUGCCUUAAUCCUGAUAUGUCAACUUGGAAUAUUUCUAUUUGAUAAAACAAGAUUUAUUGAACUAAAUUUUGGUAGAGACAAAACCUUUAUGUGAUUGUUCUCGUCGCUUGUCAUUGUACUGCCAAUAGAGAGCUGGAUCUUGCCAACACAUUCACGUUCAUCAUGAUAUACUGGCCACCACCGAAUUCUGUCACUCUGCACAUUCAAGAUAAUUCAUUAUGUAAAUGUGGAAGGUGCAAGGGAGAGAAUAAUAUCUGUGGGCAAUGAAAGGGUAGAGCUCAUACAGGAUUAUCACUGAGGGAUGACAUUGGAAUCCUGGCUUCACCAUGGACUACCUUUUUCGAAUCUUGGACUUCUACAAUUAAAGCAUCCCCUUGGCUCAAUGGGAAACUGAAAGUAGGUGAGAGUUCAGGAUCUUUAUGAUUAUUAUGUGUAUUUCAACAAUUGAAGAAAUCAAGACAACAUGUGAUUGCCUUAAAGAAUGUACAAAGUAAAUUGCCAUCUUAUACACUAGGCUGUGUACUGGAAGAAACUUAGAACAUAAAGCAUAGUGUGUGAUAUCAACUGUUACGAUUGUCUACUACUAUAUUGUGCCAUAAUGCAUUUGGAAAACCUUCACCGACCAUCAUGUUUCGCUAUUUUCUAACAGCCGGUCAAUUAUAAAUACUUUUCCCAAUUAAAACAUAAAAGUAAAAAACUGAAACUUACAAAUCAUGGUAAUCUCCACUUCCAGGGCGCAAAAGAAUUGCAGAACAUGGCUCUGAUUCAUUUUCUUCCGUUGUACUCUUAAGUUGGAUCAAACAAUGUAGCGGUUCUACAAGAAUAAAACAGAUACCUUUAAUUCCAUUCUGCAAUAAAAACAUUGGUGUUUAUGAAGAAAAAAAAUCUAUAUUAAAAAAUCCCAUUUCUUUAGGUGGAGUAUGACUCCUAAAUCCUGAUAAUAUGUAACUGUUUCAGUCUAAUACAAGUCUCAUAUCAAGAUCAAAAAGAUUUCUAAACUAUAAAAUGAAAGAGUUGCUGAAACCUUCAGAUAAACGAACCUUCGGCUGCCAAUGAGAAGGAGGCUGCCUUCAUAGAAUUUAUGCCAUUUUUCACAAGUGAUGAAACAUGCCGGACAUACUCCACCCCAGCUUUCAUGUAGAUUGAUCCUCGCUGUGACUUUGUAAUCUUAAGUUUUUGUCUUGGUAUAAUUCGUAGUUUCUUCACUGCAAUUUUCAUAUAGGAUGUCAGAUUAUUCUACUCUCAAGUUGUUUGAAGGAGAUCCAAUGUUAUAAACAUAAUUACAUUCGGAAGUUCUAAAAUAUGUCUAUGUACAAUUAUAAUCAUAUUACAUUUGAAUGAUGAAAACCUGUUGAGAUUGUAAGAUUACCUUCCACUCUUAUUUUCCCUACAACCUUCUUAGUCUUCAGGGGAAGUGUUUGUUCUGAAUUCCUGUUAUUUCUGCCUUCAGUUGGCUUUACACCUCGAGGUUGCAACAGGAACUCAUGCAAUCUAUGGAAAUAGAGAAAUAAGAGAAAUGAGGAGAACAAGAAAUGAAACCAAAAGAAAUGUGUUAGCAAAACAAAAUGGAACCCACCCAAAAGCACUUCGGAGAGCUAGGCACUCAUCUUUUAAAAACUCUGGGGCCUCAGUGCAGCCUUUUGCCCAUGCUUGUAGGCAUAAACGUAUGCAGGCAUCAUAAGUGAUAAGGGUUUGCCAGGCGAAUUGACUAUUGCAACUGCUGAAAUAACAUAACAUUCCACAAAAGGAAGUGAGCAUAUAAAUGUAAAUUUCAAGAUAACUAUAUUAAUGAAAUUUUACUAUAAUUAGCAAAGUAUUAAUGUUGAUCCAAUCUAAACUAAAUAUUUCUUUAAGAGAAAGUAAAAGUUGAAGAUUGACAGUACCUGGUGUUGUAAUAUUGUAAAUGAGGGGUGUGUCUUUCUAUGUCAUCUGUAAAAGUCUUGUCCAGUCUGCAGAGUUGAAUAUUAAAAGGACACUGUAGCUGGUUAGGAAGGAGAAUUCCAAACAGAAAUUCCCUAGAGAAUGCAAUACACAGUAGUACCUUUCAGCAAGCUCAGUGACAGUGGGUUCAGCAACAGUCUUGGCCUUAGGCUUUUGUUCAAUUGAAGUCUCACUUUUUGUGCCAUCAUUAAAAUCCAGAGAUUCCCUUGAAGGCCAAGAUCCAGGGUCAGUUGGUUCGUUCCUUAUGGAGCAUUCUGAAUCCCUCUCCAGUGGAAAUUCAGAAUCAAUGAUGGGAGGGGCACUUGGAGUACCCAAUCCAAGAGUGUCAUUGCGAAGGUGAAAUUGCUUUUGAAGCUGAACACCGGCAGUGCCAGCUGGAGUGAGGUUCCUUUGAAGACAUUUAUUGAAACCCAUUUCUCCAUCUGUGAAUCUUCUGACAGUGUUGGGAACCUGAAUGGUUAGGCUUUGAUCGGCCAAGCCUGUCUUGAGAAUUUCUCUGCGCCCUUUACACGGAAACAAUUGUUCCUCGUCAUAGUUGUGUGGUGUUGGAGAGUCCGAGAAGUCAAGGUUGUUGGGAGCAGAGAGUUCCUCAUCG
rnacentral:lncRNA from 1 species